rnacentral:rRNA from 1 species
AUUGAACGCUGGCGGCAUGCUUUACACAUGCAAGUCGAACGGUAACAGGGAGCUUGCUCCGCUGACGAGUGGCGAACGGGUGAGUAAUGCAUCGGAACGUACCCAGUCGUGGGGGAUAACGUAGCGAAAGUUACGCUAAUACCGCAUACGUCCUGAGGGAGAAAGCGGGGGACCGAAAGGCCUCGCGCGAUUGGAGCGGCCGAUGUCGGAUUAGCUAGUUGGUAGGGUAAAGGCCUACCAAGGCGACGAUCCGUAGCGGGUCUGAGAGGAUGAUCCGCCACACUGGGACUGAGACACGGCCCAGACUCCUACGGGAGGCAGCAGUGGGGAAUUUUGGACAAUGGGCGAAAGCCUGAUCCAGCCAUGCCGCGUGAGUGAAGAAGGCCUUCGGGUUGUAAAGCUCUUUCAGCCGGAAAGAAAUCGCACAGGCUAAUACUUUGUGUGGAUGACGGUACCGGAAGAAGAAGCACCGGCUAACUACGUG